CAUUACCAAAUCAUUGACAUUAAUAAUCAACAAUGUUAUAUCACAGCACCAACUCAACAAUAUCACAAUAUAAAAAACUCCACCAACUUUUGAUUUUACAAUAUCUGUUUGGUAUGGACAUUUUUUUUUAUCAAACAUAUAAAUAUUUAACACUACAGUUUGUUAUUUUCAUCUUAAUUUUCCGAUUAGUAGGGUAUCUUGACUUAUCUUGUGCAAAUUAAUUGAAGGCGAAUCAUCAUUUAGCACUAUUCUGUUGUUAAUUGUUUUCACGAAUCCAGUCUUACCGUCAUUUUGCAAUGGUUUUGUUAAUAGCAACCAGUGUACCUGACAUGAACGAGGAAAGGUAGAUCUGAAUCUUUUACCUACCAAUUUCUUGUUAACUGAGACUGUAGAAUAAUACCUUUACGAAAAUAGUUUAAAUAAAUAAAUAAAGAAAGAGCCAGAUAAAAAAUGAAUUUUAUGAAUCAUAUUAACUGAGAACAUAUUGACACUUUGAAAAGGUGAACAGUUUUUCAUACAAAAGCCAGUUCACAAAACGUCGUAGAAGUAAGAGUAUAAGGUUUAUGCAUAUUUAAUAUUUAAUCUCUUAUUUAGUUUUAUAUUUUUGACUUACUGUAUGAUGACCCUCUUUGGUAUGGACAUUUUUUCUAUAAAAUAUAUAAAUAUAUAACACUACAGUUUGUCAUUUUCAUCUUAAUUUUCCGAUUAGAGGGUAUCUUGACGUAUCUUGUGCAAAUUAAUUGAAGGCGAAUCAUCAUUUAGCACUAUUCUGUUGUUGAUUGUUUUCACGAAUCCAGUUUGACCCUGUCAUUUUGUAAUGGGUUUGUUAAUAGCAACAUUUGUACCUGCAAUGAACGAGGAAAGGUAGAUCUGAUCUCUGCAAAUUACUUGUUAACUGAGACUAUUUUAUACUACAAUACUUUUAUAAAAAUAGUUUAAAUACAUAGAGAAAGAAAGAGCCAGAUAAAAAAAAGUGAAUUUUAUGAAUCAU
rnacentral:lncRNA from 1 species